rnacentral:lncRNA from 1 species
AAAGCCACGUCGGCAAAAGCCGUGGCGGCGGGGGCAAAAAGCCGCGGCGGCGGGGAGUAAAAAGCCGCGGUGAUGGGGGUAAAAAGCCGCGUUGGCAAAAACCGCGGCGGCGGGGAGCAAAAAGUCGCCGCGGCGGGGCGCAAAAAGCCGCGGCAGCGGGGGGUAAAAAGCCGUGUCGGCAAAAGCCGCGGCGGCGGGGUCAAAAAGCCGCAAAAGCCGCGGCGGCGGGGGCAAAAUACCGCGGUGGCAAAAAGCCCCGGCGGCGCGGGCAAAAAGCCGCGCUGGUGGGGGCAAAAACCAUCUGGAGCGGGGGCAAAAAAAGCCGCGAGGGCGGCGGCGGGGGGAAAAAGUCGCAAAAAACACCGGCGGCUGGGGUAAAAAGCCACGGCGGCAAAAAGCCUCGGCGGCGGGGGCAAAAAGCCGCGUUGUCAAAAGAGUGGCGGCGGGGGCCAAAAGCCGCGGCGGCGGGGACUGAAACCCACGGCGGCGGGGGCAAAAUACUGCGGCGGUAAAAAGCCAUGGCGGGGACAAAAAGCCACAAAAAGAGCCUUUUUAGGGAAAAGUGCAAUUGCUAACAUCUGAAUAAUAUAUUAAGGAUGCCAAUCUAAAAUUUGCUAAUAGCAUCAUAUUUACAAAAUAAUAACUAUUAACAUGAGAAGGAAUGUAAUAUUUAAUAAUUAACAUUAUAUUACAAUUCUGAGAAUUCUGAUCAAUGCAAUAAAAUAUCAAGAAGAAAUA